rnacentral:tRNA from 2 species
GGGCACGUAGUCUAGCUUGGUCAAGGCGACAGCCUCCUAAGCUGUAUGUCGCCGGUUCGAAUCCGGUCGUGCCCGCCA